CGCCGGACGGACUUAUCGGAUUUGGAAAGACUAGGAGAGAAAAUAAUAACGGUUCCAGGAUGAUCCUCUUGUGGAGGUCGUCGUUCUCUGGCUCGUUCCCCGAGCAGAGAGACAGGUAGAAGCGGACAAAGCGGGUCCGUUGCACAACGCUCUGGAUUAUGAAACACAGUAGCACCACUACCACAGAGAUCCCAAAGAAUAGCAACGUGUUGAUCUGCUCAUCGCUCAGGAGAGCUUUCGUCAGCAACCUGUUGAUGGACACCAGCAAACCUGCUGCACCUGCCAACAAGACACCAUUAUGUCAUAAAGAACGAGAAUUAGCCGAGGAAGGCUGCACACAUGGACGACACAAACACGUGAGCCUCCACAGCCAAGAGUCAAUGAAAUCGAAAAACUCAGGAAAAAAAGGUGCUGAUGCCAGGACAACUGUGUAUGAUUUAUUCGGCAGUGGGACAUGUAUAUGAUUCCAGUAAAUUUUAUGGAGGAAAUAAACAUUGCCAUCGCAUACCACCGUGCAAGAAAAAACUCUAAAAUACAGCAAACAAUAGCUACAAGCUACAGGAACAAGUUACAAGGAUACAGAGCACGAGCAACUCAAAGGAAGGGGGCAAAACUUCAUCAGCAUGGCCUUCACAGUUCUUUAUAGAGUUCAUAAGGUUCAUUAAGUCCCGAACCACACUUUCCACAUCUCUUAAUCAGCUGGACUCUUGCCCCCUCUGUCUCUCUCAAAGCUGCUUGGUCCCUGGUCAAAUCCAGCGCACCAACGCCCUGCCCUCAAAGCUCUUUGGCCUUCUGCACACCAUAGGACUUCGAUCCUUAUUGCAAAGGGGCUCAUCAUUUCAUUCCCCACAUCACCACCAGCAAUGGGGUACAGUAUGGCCCCUCACGAUGAAACUCCCCAUUCAUCUUCUUACAAUAAAGUUGUUGUUGUUGUUGUUGUA